AGGCGGGAAGUUGAAAGGGAAUACAUGACCAUGAAACUCGAUGGCACGGUGCUGGGGGUGGAAGACAUGGCCAACACGGCGCUGUAUGUGGAGUCAGACGAGGCUAGGUAUGUGACCGUGACUUGGACUUCAAAUUACCCCAUGAGUUAAGGCUGAACCUCCUACGUACCUAUGUGUUGGGUAACCACUACUAAACAUCUGAAUUUAUCCAAUGCUACCUCACCCAAAAAGCAUCAAGAUAAUUGACCAACCUAGAACUAUGGAUUUAGUAGCCUCUUUGUUCUGUAGAGUUUUUUUAUUAUCUAUGUCUUGCCUGCUACUUAGAUUUAAUGGUAUGAUAGGGAAGGAUGCAUAAACAGACAACCCCUACAUGCACAACACCAGUCACUGCCUUGAACACACGUCCAGAAUUAAUGCCAAAGAUCGAUAAAUUUGACUCUUGAAUCAUAUGUUCUGAAACAACAGCCAAUUAUGUUGCAGGGAUAUGUCGUAGAAGUGUCGUAUCGGUGCAUGAUACUGCACUAGGGGUGAUAUGCCGGGAUACGCGCGAGAUACGCUUAUCCAUCGUAGCACACUUUAUCAAAUUAAAAUAAAGAAAAAAAUAAGAGAAUACGACUAGGACACGCAGGGAUACAUCAAGGAUAUGUAAGGGCAUGUUAACACUCGAUCUCCAGCCCAUCAGAAGGCCUACUCGAUGGAUAGAUAAACCUAAUCCCUAGAAUCCUUCCUCUCGCUGUAAUCUUGAAGUUGACAAAUCGCAAGACUAGUUUCAGCGCAUCUCCAGACUCCCUUACGUUGCCGCCGCCGACACCUCACAACGCAGUUCAUCUCCAUUCUCUAAGUCUUCUUCAUCCAGAAUCUGUACUGUACGCAAGUAAGCUUCGAUCCAUUGCUUCAAGAUAUCUAUUUUUAAGCAUGUUAUGGAUUAGGAUUUAAGGGAUAAUGAAGUGCAUAUAUUUAUCUUAAUGUUAGGGAAUGUCGUGUAGGUCGAACAACUAAUCCUAUGUUGCCCGAUCUGGGAGUGGGUAUGGUAUAGUAAUGUCGUCCAUGAUCUGGGAGUGGGUAUAAGGUUUUCCCUGUAGUGUUCUGAGGAACACAAGGACUGCAUCAAGGAGUUGGCACAUGAAAAUUAAAAAUACAGCAACUUUUUUAUAUCCAUGAUCAGGUUACUUUAUAAACGUCAAUUUUCUAACCCUCUAAAUUAAUGAUUUUUUAUGCUGAUUUUUUAUGUAUUUGUACAUAUACUCAUCGUAUCCCCAUUAGUCUAUUUCAAGAAAAUGUCGUACGUACUAGUAUCCCUGUACCACGUAACAUAAUUGACAAGCCAUCUAAAUAGGAUUCAGUCGUAUUUGAAUAUGUUUUAUCCUUUUUUAUAAUUGUAUUUUUAUGGUAUCAAUUAUUCUGUACUGUAGGGAGCUCUCAAACUGCACAGAGUCAAGAUUAAUGCUAUGCUCCCAUCAAUGAUUCCAGCGGAAGAUAUUUGUAACCUCAAGUGUUAUACAAGGUUACUAUCGCAUUGCUGAAUUUAGAGCAGAACACAACCACCAGCCAGCACCCCCCUCUACCAUGCAUAUGCUGAGAUCUCAGAGGGUGGUUACUGAGGUAGAAAGAACUGAAUGCGACUCCUCAGAAGAUUCCACAACACCGUCAAGUUUUUCUGGUGUCUCUUUAGUACAGCAGGCAGGAGCUUUUAGAAAUGUUAAAUUCUCCCUGCAGAUUACAGAAGUUCCCUUUGUUCAAAGCGUAUGAACAAUAUGCAACCUGGUGAUGCAGGAGGUGUUGUGAAGUACCUACAGAGCAUGCAGUUAAACAAUUCGUCUUUCUUUUAUGCUGUCCAGCUCGACGAGGAUGACAAACUGACCAAUAUUUUCUGGGCCGAUUCCAAAUCUAGAGUUGAUUUCAGCUACUUCAGUGACGUGGUUUGUUUGGACACACCUACAAGAUAAAUGCACAUGGAAGGCCAUUAACUCUCUUCCUUGGAGUGAAUCAUCACAAGCAAAUUUCCAUAUUUGGCGCUGCUUUGCUUUAUGAUGAAUCAGUGGAAUCGUUCAAGUGGUUGUUUGACAUGUUCAAGAUCGCUACAGAUGGAAAGCAGCCAAAAACAAUCUUGACAGAUCAAUCAAUUGCAGCAAGUGCUGCCAUAAGCGCAGUAUGGCCAAGUACAAUUCACUGUCUUUGCCCAUGGCAAGUGUACCAAAAUACUGUCAAACACCUUAAUCACAUCUUCCAAGGCGCUAAAACAUUUGCAAAGGAUUUCAGCAGAUGUGUCUAUGAUUAUGAGGAUGAAGAGGGUUUCUUGGUAGGAUGGAGAACCAUGCUAGAGAAGUAUGAUCUAAGAAACAAUGAAUGGCUUCAUGAGUUCUUCAAAGAUCGAGAUAAAUGGGCAUCAGCGUACAAUCAACAUGUAUUCACCGCAGAUAUAAAAAGUUCAUUGCAGUUAGAAAGUGUUAGCAAUGUCUUGAGAAAGUACCUGAGUCCACAGUUUGAUUUCUUGUCUUUCUUCAAGCACUAUGAAAGAGUUUUGGACGAGUCUUGUCUUGUCUUUUGGCAAUGUUUAUGAAACGUGAAUGAAGUAAGAUGCCAGAAACCAAGUGAAGAAAUUGAUAGAUAUUUUAUUGGCCUAGCUGUUAAAAACUAUAUGUAAAAAAUAUCUUUCUAUAAUUUUAGUAUUAGCAAACUAAUUCUGAUGAUAGUAGUAGAUUCGUAUAAGCCAUUCCAUUGGGUAAGGAUUCAUUCCUUACAGCUGGCUUAUACUUAGGUGCUAAUUAUAGUUUUUGUGUCAAUCCAUUCUCAUUCAUUGUAUACUUUUAAUGAUGACAGAGGUUUUUUAAUAAAUUCUUAGUUGCUACUCAUAUAUGCAGGCCAGCUUCAAGGCUAUGAAGCGAAAGACCAAACAAAGGUUUUCACCAUGUUUGUUAUUUAGCUCAGUAAUUGUACAUCUACUUCUUUCCCCUAUUGUAGUUCUUUUAUUUGCACUGGACUUCUUGAAAGAUGACAACGUGCAAUCAUUAUUGUAGAGUGGCCAUGUUUCUAUUUGUAUUCCUAAAAUAGAAUGAAAUUUCAUUUACAUCUUUAUAACUUUGUUUCAUUAAUAAAAAGGUUUGAUUAUUUAAACAUUGCAAUUAGGUGGCUUUAUCCUCAAUUUUCAUUGUAUCAUGUCUUCACUUACAUUCAACAAGUACGUAGCUCUUUCUCUAGUUGUAAGAUCUGAUCCUAAAUUUAACCUUGAUGGUGCUGAAACUGCGAAUGAAUUCUGGGCACUUCAUGUUCAUAUGACACUUGUGAAAAAUGAAUAUUUGGUACGGUGUCGCAAAACCUAUAAUAUUCUUGGUAAUUCAGAAAAAACAAAGAUUGCAUUCUGUUUAACAUUUGUAUGUGAAACAUCAUGCCUCUAUCACUACUUGUGUAAUCUCAAUGCAUUGUGUAUUAACAGUUCAUUUUCUUAUUUACUUUGUAGAUUCAGAAGAUAUAUGGAUGAGGCAAUUAUACUUCAAUGAUGGUGAUGGUGUUCUGGUUCAUGAUGAUGAUGACAGAUGCUUUUAGUUUUAGUUAAGUUAGUAGGGAUUUUGUUCCUCUUGGAUCAUGUUGCUCGAUUAAGUUUUUGUUAAGUUGUAGGGAUGUUGAUGGAUGGUUUCAAUUUAAGUUUUGUUGUCAAGAGAAUAUUUACAUUAUGCAUCACAUUUGGAUGAUGUUCCUCCUGUAAUAUCCCCUAUUGUAAUCCAAAAGUUUAUCCAAUAUAUGAUUUCUCUCUUUCGUACAUAUAUUCUCUUAUCUUUUGCUCAUUUACUAUAGAUAAUGAGAAGCAUUAUGUGGAACAUUAAUUUAAUUGAUGGGAAGAAUAAGCG
rnacentral:lncRNA from 1 species